UAUGGCCAUAUCAUAUCGAAACACCAGUUUCCAUACAAUCACCAAAGUUAAGCAACAUUACGACUGGAUAGUACCUAGAUUGGUGACCAGUGGGGAAUACCAGCUG